CAUGGCUUCAACAGCUGUGGUCCUUUGCUUCCUUGUUCUAUACUGUAUAACUGCUCUUGACGCACAGUGUAGCAAUAUAAACUAUACCACGAUCAGUGAUAUCCGACGCAGUACAGCGUACAAUGCUUCUUAUUAUUUGUGCGAUUAUUUUAUCCAGAAUGGAUCAUGGUACAGGUUUAAAAGUGUGGCUGGUAAUAACAUACCAGAGUUUUACCCAGGAGUAUAUCAUUGUGGAACUUAUAUCCCGAUAUGGAUGAAUGGGACACAUCCAACUACAAUUGGUGUAGAGGUGGACAGGAUUGCGUGUGCGGCGUGGUGGGGGUGGUCGAGGGGGUGGUAUCAUAUCUAUGAAUGCCUCCAUCAAUACAACAUCAAAGUGAUAAACUGUGGAAGUUUUUUUCUGUAUCGGUUAAAGCCACCUCGAUACUGUAACUCUGCUUAUUGUACAAGUAGGUUGCGAUAGGAUUUGUUUAUUGUUAUCUCCUAUUAUUUGGUUAAAUGUGUAUUGUCUUAAUGUGAUGAAAUAUAUAUUAUUCCAGACGAUCCACUUUAUUUAAACACACUAAUCUUUUCAACAUACAGCUUAUUUCCAAACAAGGAGUGCUAAUAUUACAAAAUGCAAAUUUAUAUACUAAAACUUAUUCAAAUAUUACUAUAUUAUUUCUAACAUGUAAUAACGUAUUAUUUGAAACAUAGGAGUGUUUUAAAUGCAAGUCAGUGCGCAGCACGAGCAUUUUAGGUACCAUUUAAAACACGACUACAAACUAGUGUUUUGAAUAGCUUCGAACAUGACCACAAUAGAUGCAGUCUCAUUAGUGUUCUUUAUAUAAAGAAUACUAAUUAGGAUGGGCUUUUAUAUAUAAAAAAUACUAAUGGAGACAAGUUUUAUCAGGUAUAAAAAGCCUCUUCAU
rnacentral:lncRNA from 1 species